rnacentral:rRNA from 1 species
GGUUUCCGUAGGUGACCUGCGGAAGGAUCAUUAUCGUACAAAAUGUGUGAGGCAUGCGAGGGCUGUCGCUGACUUUUACCACAAGAGUCGUGCACGCCAGAGUGUGUCCUCUCACAUAAAAAUCCAUCUCACCCUUUUGUGCACCACCGCGUGGGCAACCCUUUGGGAUCAAACCGAUCCGGGAGGGGGGCUCGCGUUUUCACACAAACCCCUAUUUUAAAAGUGUAGAAUGACCCCCAUUUUUGCGAUAACACGCAAUCAAUACAACUUUCAACAACGGAUCUCUUGGCUCUCGCAUCGAUGAAGAACGCAGCGAAAUGCGAUACGUAAUGUGAAUUGCAGAAUUCAGUGAAUCAUCGAAUCUUUGAACGCACCUUGCGCCCCUUGGUAUUCCGAGGGGCACACCCGUUUGAGUGUCGUGAAAAUCUCAACCUUCCCGGUUUCUUCUGGACACCGAAGGAGGCUUGGACUUUGGAGGCCUUUGCUGGCAUCUUCUCUCUUUUGAAGGCCAGCUCCUCUCAAAUGAAUUAGCAGGGUCCUCUUUGCCGAUCCUCGACGUGUGAUAAGAUGUUUCCAUGUCUUGGUUUAUGGCUCUGUUGCUUUUGGGACCCGCUUCUAACCGUCUCAACGACAAUGUUUGAGCGUGUCUCCCUUACUCGGGAAACGCUCUCGAACCCACGAACCCUGACCUCAAA